rnacentral:rRNA from 1 species
UACGUAGGAGGCAAGCGUUGUCCGGAGUUACUGGGCGUAAAGGGCCCGCAGGCGGUGGAGUAAGUUUGGAGUGACAGUUCCCAGCUUAACCGGGAAAGGACUUCGAAAACUGCUCGACUUGAGGACUGGAGAGGAAGGCGGAAUUCCGGGUGGAGCGGUGAAAUGCGUAGAGAUCCGGAAGAACACCGGUGGCGAAGGCGGCCUGCUGGGCAGUUUGCUGACACUGAGGCGCGACAGCGUGGGGAGCAAACAGG